CAGUCGCCACGGUAAUACGGAGGGAGCUAGCGUUGUUCGGAAUUACUGGGCGUAAAGCGCGCGUAGGCGGUUACUCAAGUCAGAGGUGAAAGCCCGGGGCUCAACCCCGGAACUGCCUUGAAACUAGGUGACUAGAAUCUUGGAGAGGUCAGUGGAAUUCCGAGUGUAGAGGUGAAAUUCGUAGAUAUUCGGAAGAACACCAGUGGCGAAGGCAACUGCCUGGGCCUGAUCUGACACUGAGGCACGAAAGCGUGGGUAGCAAACAGGAUUAGAUACCCCGGUAGUCCCUGUCUCUUAUACA
rnacentral:rRNA from 1 species